rnacentral:rRNA from 1 species
CCUACGGGAGGCAGCAGUGGGGAAUAUUGCGCAAUGGGGGAAAGCCUGACGCAGCGACGCCGCGUGAGUGAAGAAGUAUUUCGUUAUGUAAGGCUCUAUCAGCAGGGCAGAAAAUGACGGUACCUGAGUAAGAAGCACCGGCUAACUACGUGCCAGCAGCCGCGGUAAUACGUAGGGGGCAAGCGUUAUCCGGAUUUACUGGGUGUAAAGGGAGCGUAGGCGGCAGUGCAAGUCUGGAGUGAAAGGCGGGGGCUCAACCCCCGGACGGCUCUGGAAACUGGACGGCUGGAGUGCAGGAGAGGUAAGUGGAAUUCCUGGUGUAGCGGUGAAAUGCGUAGAUAUUAGGAGGAACACCAGUGGCGAAGGCGGUUUACUGGACUGUAACUGACGCUGAGGCUCGAAAGCGUGGGGAGCAAACAGGAUUAGAUACCCGUGUAGUC